GCAGCAGAUGAGCCUGUAGAGCUGGAAGCAGAGCUGCAGGAAGGUGCAGAGCCAUGGGAGACAGUUCCCCUCCUUCCCCCGGGCUCUGCUGGGGGCUCAGGCAGGAGCCGGGCCCCAGGCCCAAGAGGCUGUCGGAUUCCGCAGGGCAGGCGCAGGCCCUGCAGUCAGCUAAGAAAGCCUGCGUGCUGAGGCGAGGCUGCAGCACUCCAGAUCCAGCAGGGCACCCUCUCCUCCCUUCCCCAGGCUCGGGCUGCUCCCUUUUCCUGGAUGAGAGCGGCCAGGACGAGCUGGGUGCCAGUUUUUCCGUGUCCAAGUACAAUGACGUGGCCAUUUCCCUGGACGUCAGCAGGUGCUUCGACGACAGCGAGCUGGACGAUUCCCUGCUGGAGCUGUCAGGCAGCGAGAAAGGGAGUUCUCCCUUUGAUUACACCGAGGAGGAGAUCCAGGAGAUCUUGGCUGAUGAUUCCAUGGAAGCUGAGCAGCAGCAGCAGCAGCACCUGGCUGGGGAAAGCCACCUGAGCCAAAGUGACAGCGGAGAGAGCGACAAGGCGGAGAGCGACUGCGCCACGGGGACAUCAGCCAGUGAAUCGGCCUCAGAGGGACCAAAGGAAGCUCAGGAGCCUCUCUCAGGCAGCUCUGGGUGUGAUCCUGGUUUUUUCACUCUGGAUGGGGCCCAGCUGCAGCAGGAGCUGGACCUUGACCUGCAGGAGCUGCUGAGCCUGAGCCCGUUCGCCGCCGCCUGCGCCGACGAGGCUCUGGAGGAAAAUAACCUGGAAAGAGAAACUUUGGAUGCAAUGAUAGAUGAUUGCUUGGGAUAUUCCACAGCUGCUGGGAGCUGCAUUCCUGAAAAAUCCACGGAGGGGGUGACGCCCAAAGGCCAGGAAAGUCAGGAUUGCCUGGGAAAAUCCGUGUCCUCAUCCGACCUUCCCUGUGGCCAGAGCACAGGGGAUGAGGGUCCAGCAUCUGCCUUGCCACCAAAACAAGAACUUCCCAAAGCAACCACGAGCUGUUCCUCCAGGAAAUCAGGCUCUCCAGAGGAUGCUGAAAGGGAAUCCACAGGAGCUGAGCAGCCACCAGGCAGCACUAAAUCAAGUGACACAGCUGGAGGCCAGACUGGGCAGGAAGAGCCACCCGGUGGGAAGAAAAGUGGCAGAGUAAUUCCUGUCCCACAGGAGGAGGAAGAAAGGCCGAAACAACGGAUCUGCGUUUCAGAAGCUCAGCCUGAGCAAAAGAAACGUUUCUCUGCAGGCUGUGCCCAUCCAAGUGAGGAAAAGUGUGGCUAUUACCUCAGCCAGAAGCAACUCUGA
rnacentral:lncRNA from 1 species